rnacentral:rRNA from 1 species
AAGCAAUCUCGGGCUUGGUUAGUACUUGGAUGGGUGACCGCUUGGGAAUACCAAGUGUGAUAAGUA